UACGUAGGGCGCAAGCGUUAUCCGGAAUUAUUGGGCGUAAAGAGCUCGUAGGCGGUUUGUCGCGUCUGCCGUGAAAGUCCGGGGCUCAACUCCGGAUCUGCGGUGGGUACGGGCAGACUAGAGUGAUGUAGGGGAGACUGGAAUUCCUGGUGUAGCGGUGAAAUGCGCAGAUAUCGGGAGGAACACCGAUGGCGAAGGCAGGUCUCUGGGCAUUAACUGACGCUGAGGAGCGAAAGCAUGGGGAGCGAACAGG
rnacentral:rRNA from 1 species